rnacentral:ncRNA from 12 species
AUGAAUUGAGGGUAGAAAGGUUCCUACCGCACCUCAAAAGGUAUAUCCUACCAAAAAGAGGUACCUGAGAUGACGAGGUUACUGAACGUCCAAUUGAU